rnacentral:rRNA from 1 species
AUUGAACGCUGGCGGCAUGCCUAACACAUGCAAGUCGAGCGAGGACUUCGGUCCUAGCGGCGGACGGGUGAGUAACGCGUGGGAACGUGCCCUUUGCUACGGAAUAGCCCCGGGAAACUGGGAGUAAUACCGUAUGUGCCCGAGAGGGGAAAGAUUUAUCGGCAAAGGAUCGGCCCGCGUUGGAUUAGGUAGUUGGUGGGGUAAUGGCCUACCAAGCCGACGAUCCAUAGCUGGUUUGAGAGGAUGAUCAGCCACACUGGGACUGAGACACGGCCCAGACUCCUACGGGAGGCAGCAGUGGGGAAUAUUGGACAAUGGGCGCAAGCCUGAUCCAGCUAUGCCGCGUGAGUGACGAAGGCCUUAGGGUUGUAAAGCUCUUUUGGCGGGGAAGAUAAUGACGGUACCCGCAGAAUAAGCUCCGGCUAACUUCGUGCCAGCCGCCGCUGUAAUAC